rnacentral:rRNA from 1 species
GGCAUGCUGGAGGUAUCAGAAGUGCGAAUGCUGACAUAAGUAACGAUAAAGCGGGUGAAAAGCCCGCUCGCCGGAAGACCAAGGGUUCCUGUCCAACGUUAAUCGGGGCAGGGUGAGUCGACCCCUAAGGCGAGGCCGAAAGGCGUAGUCGAUGGGAAACAGGUUAAUAUUCCUGUACUUGGUGUUACUGCGAAGGGGGGACGGAGAAGGCUAUGUUGGCCGGGCGACGGUUGUCCCGGUUUAAGCGUGUAGGCUGGUUUUCCAGGCAAAUCCGGAAAAUCAAGGCUGAGGCGUGAUGACGAGGCACUACGGUGCUGAAGCAACAAAUGCCCUGCUUCCAGGAAAAGCCUCUAAGCAUCAGGUAACAUCAAAUCGUACCCCAAACCGACACAGGUGGUCAGGUAGAGAAUACCAAGGCGCUUGAGAGAACUCGGGUGAAGGAACUAGGCAAAAUGGUGCCGUAACUUCGGGAGAAGGCACGCUGAUAUGUAGGUGAAGUCCCUCGCGGAUGGAGCUGAAAUCAGUCGAAGAUACCAGCUGGCUGCAACUGUUUAUUAAAAACACAGCACUGUGCAAACACGAAAGUGGACGUAUACGGUGUGACGCCUGCCCGGUGCCGGAAGGUUAAUUGAUGGGGUCAGCGCAAGCGAAGCUCUUGAUCGAAGCCCCGGUAAACGGCGGCCGUAACUAUAACGGUCCUAAGGUAGCGAAAUUCCUUGUCGGGUAAGUUCCGACCUGCACGAAUGGCGUAAUGAUGGCCAGGCUGUCUCCACCCGAGACUCAGUGAAAUUGAACUCGCUGUGAAGAUGCAGUGUACCCGCGGCAAGACGGAAAGACCCCGUGAACCUUUACUAUAGCUUGACACUGAACAUUGAGCCUUGAUGUGUAGGAUAGGUGGGAGGCUUUGAAGUGUGGACGCCAGUCUGCAUGGAGCCGACCUUGAAAUACCACCCUUUAAUGUUUGAUGUUCUAACGUGGACCCGUGAUCCGGGUUGCGGACAGUGUCUGGUGGGUAGUUUGACUGGGGCGGUCUCCUCCUAAAGAGUAACGGAGGAGCACGAAGGUUGGCUAAUCCUGGUCGGACAUCAGGAGGUUAGUGCAAUGGCAUAAGCCAGCUUGACUGCGAGCGUGACGGCGCGAGCAGGUGCGAAAGCAGGUCAUAGUGAUCCGGUGGUUCUGAAUGGAAGGGCCAUCGCUCAACGGAUAAAAGGUACUCCGGGGAUAACAGGCUGAUACCGCCCAAGAGUUCAUAUCGACGGCGGUGUUUGGCACCUCGAUGUCGGCUCAUCACAUCCUGGGGCUGAAGUAGGUCCCAAGGGUAUGGCUGUUCGCCAUUUAAAGUGGUACGCGAGCUGGGUUUAGAACGUCGUGAGACAGUUCGGUCCCUAUCUGCCGUGGGCGCUGGAGAACUGAGGGGGGCUGCUCCUAGUACGAGAGGACCGGAGUGGACGCAUCACUGGUGUUCGGGUUGUCAUGCCAAUGGCACUGCCCGGUAGCUAAAUGCGGAAGAGAUAAGUGCUGAAAGCAUCUAAGCACGAAACUUGCCCCGAGAUGAGUUCUCCCUGACCCUUUAAGGGUCCUGAAGGAACGUUGAAGACGACGACGUUGAUAGGCCGGGUGUGUAAGCGCAGCGAUGCGUUGAGCUAACCGGUACUAAUGAACCGUGAGGCUUAACCUUACAACGCCGAAGGUGUUU